rnacentral:rRNA from 1 species
GACGAACGCUGGCGGCGCUCCUAACACAUGCAAGUCGAACGAGCGAGAGAGAGCUUGCUUUCUCGAGCGAGUGGCGAACGGGUGAGUAACGCGUGAGGAACCUGCCUCAAAGAGGGGGACAACAGUUGGAAACGACUGCUAAUACCGCAUAAGCCCACAGGUCGGCAUCGACCAGAGGGAAAAGGAGCAAUCCGCUUUGAGAUGGCCUCGCGUCCGAUUAGCUAGUUGGUGAGGUAACGGCCCACCAAGGCGACGAUCGGUAGCCGGACUGAGAGGUUGAACGGCCACAUUGGGACUGAGACACGGCCCAGACUCCUACGGGAGGCAGCAGUGGGGAAUAUUGCACAAUGGGGGAAACCCUGAUGCAGCGACGCCGCGUGGAGGAAGAAGGUCUUCGGAUUGUAAACUCCUGUUGUUGAGGAAGAUAAUGACGGUACUCAACAAGGAAGUGACGGCUAACUACGUGCCAGCAGCCGCGGUAAAACGUAGGUCACAAGCGUUGUCCGGAAUUACUGGGUGUAAAGGGAGCGCAGGCGGGAAGACAAGUUGGAAGUGAAAUCUAUGGGCUCAACCCAUAAACUGCUUUCAAAACUGUUUUUCUUGAGUAGUGCAGAGGUAGGCGGAAUUCCCGGUGUAGCGGUGGAAUGCGUAGAUAUCGGGAGGAACACCAGUGGCGAAGGCGGCCUACUGGGCACCAACUGACGCUGAGGCUCGAAAGUGUGGGUAGCAAACAGG